rnacentral:misc_RNA from 1 species
UGUAGGGGUGCAUGUAGGCACGGUCCUUGUGAUGCGGUACGUGAUGGUGUGUGAGUGGUAUUUGGUUUGUGUGGUUGGCGGGCUCUUUGCUUGUGCAUUGGACCGUUUACCAACAUACCUUUUCAUUGUAUGCUGCAAGUGCACCAUUUUGCCUUGGGCAACGUGUGGUCCCUAUGUUGGAUUCCGAUUAAUGGUAUUGUUGUUGUCCCUUUAAGGAGUGAUAUUCGCUCUAUGUCUGUAAAAGGAGGUCGAGCGGACCAUGAAGCUUGACUUGUUAUCCUCCUGUUUUGUGAAAACAAGCAUGAUAGGGUUGGAUUAUGAUCUCAAGUUGGGCCCUAGGAUACAGAAAGUUGUGUGGGAGUAGAUGUUAAAACGUCGCAAACCCAAAGCGUUGGUACGCUUGCGAUGGAUGACAUUCGAGUGUGUUGUGAAACUUUCAUUCUUGAAGGGUUCAUGCGCGUCGAUGUCAACCAAGGAGUGCUACCUGGUUGAUCCUG